rnacentral:rRNA from 1 species
UGCCCUGUGAUUUAAUUUAACGGCCGCGGUAUCUUAACCGUGCAAAGGUAGCAUAAUAAAUUGUCCUUUAAAUUAGGACUAGUAUGAACGGCACAACGAGAGUUUUACUGUCUCCCCCUUUUAAUCAAUGAAAUUAAUCUUCCCGUGAAGAAGCGGGAAUAGAAUUAUAAGACGAGAAGACCCCAUGGAGCUUCAAACUUAAUAUCACUUAUUUUACUUAAUACCAUAUUAUAUAAUAAAAAUGCUUUUAUAGUUUUUGGUUGGGGCGACCCUGGAGAAUAAUAAAUCCUCCAGAUUGAAAAGAACAAUAAUCCUUAUACAAGAACCACAGUUCAAACAAACAAAAAUUUGACAAUACUGACCCAGAAUAAACUGAUCAGUGAACCAAGUUACCCUGGGGAUAACAGCGCAAUCCAUUUUAAGAGCUCCUAUCGACAAAUGGGUUUACGACCUCGAUGUUGGAUCAGGGCACCCAAGCAGCGCAGCAGUUGCUAACGGUUCGUUUGUUCAACGAUUAAUACCCUACGUGAUCU